AUUGAACGCUGGCGGCAUGCUUUACACAUGCAAGUCGAACGGCAGCGCGGGCUUCGGCCUGGCGGCGAGUGGCGAACGGGUGAGUAAUGCAUCGGAACGUGCCCAGAAGUGGGGGAUAGCGCGGCGAAAGCCGGAUUAAUACCGCAUACGAACUGAGGGUGAAAGCGGGGGACCGAAAGGCCUCGCGCUAUUGGAGCGGCCGAUGUCGGAUUAGCUAGUUGGUGGGGUAAAGGCUUACCAAGGCGACGAUCCGUAGCUGGUCUGAGAGGACGACCAGCCACACUGUGACUGAGACACGGCCCAGACUCCUACGGGAGGCAGCAGUGGGGAAUUUUGGACAAUGGGGGCAACCCUGAUCCAGCCAUGCCGCGUGCGGGAAGAAGGCCUUCGGGUUGUAAACCGCUUUUGUUCGGGAAGAAAUCCUCUGGGCUAAUACCCCGGGGGGAUGACGGUACCGGAAGAAUAAGCACCGGCUAACUACGUG
rnacentral:rRNA from 1 species